rnacentral:snRNA from 1 species
GCAUAUGAGGAUGAUCUGGCUGCGAUAUCUGUAGCCCCAUUGAUCGCCAGUGUUGACUUGGCUGAUCUGGUUGGCUAAGCGGGUGUCCCCUUCCUCCCUCACCACUCCAUGUGCGUCCCUCCCCAAGCUGUGUGCUCGGUGGAAGAGGAAGGCCUUCCCCAAAUAGAGACGGACCGGUCUUCGGUGGAGGGUAUACGAGUAGCUGCGCUCCCCUGCUAGAACCUCCAAACAAGCUCUCAAUUCAAAUUGAGCUAAUGAUAUGAGUUUCCCUGGGCUUUAAAAGCAAAAGUGGACAAUGUUCAUAAGGUAUUUUGCAAGUAAGGUGUUUUGCAAAUAUUG